rnacentral:rRNA from 1 species
UGGGGAAUAUUGGACAAUGGGCGAAAGCCUGAUCCAGCCAUGCCGCGUGUGUGAAGAAGGUCUUCGGAUUGUAAAGCAUUUUAAGUUGGGAGGAAGGGCAGUAAGCGAAUACCUUGCUGUUUUGACGUUACCGACAGAAUAAGCACCGGCUAACUCUGUGCCAGCAGCCGCGGUAAUACAGAGGGUGCAAGCGUUAAUCGGAGUUACUGGGCGUAAAGCGCGCGUAGGUGGUUCGUUAAGUUGAAUGUGAAAGCCCCGGGCUCAACCUGGGAACUGCAUCCAGAACUGGCGAGCUAGAGUAGGGCAGAGGGUGGUGGAAUUUCCUGUGUAGCGGAGAAAUGCGUAGAUAUAGGAAGGAACACCAGUGGCGAAGGGGACCACCUGGGCUCAUACUGACACUGAGGUGCGAAAGCGUGGGGGGCAAACAGG